GUGGCGUUUACCUGCACUUCAGUAGACAGUUUACUUUGACGUGGCUCUACUGUCAGAUGUUGCUGGGACGUUCAUGUGCAUCCAGGACUCAUCCAGACAGAAUAUGGCUUAGUGGCUGCCCUCUGCUAUGACCGACGACCUAGAGAUUGAUGCACUUUGAUAGCAUGAUAAAGAAGCUCCUCUAAAGUUGCUGAGAGUCAAAGGUGAUUCUGCUGGUGUACCCCCCCUGGUGUGCUGGUCAUCCCUCGCUCUUGAUUUUACUUCACCGUGGUGUGUGUGUGAUUGUGACUGUCACCUGUGAUUAGAGUGAUUUUCCCUGGGAUCCCUCUCACCCCUCGACGUCCCAUCUUACCGCCGCAGACGUUGCUGAUGUGACUCGGCGUGGUCAUGACCUUCCCUCUCAGCAGACUGGCUCGGUGGUAAACAGGAGACUUAUCCUUUAACAGGUUGAAGCCUAUGCGACAGCAAGCGACUGAAGUGCCCUUGAGCAAGACACUGCAACAGCUCCUGGCUGUGCUGCUCUGCAUCUGCAACAACACUGUGACCUCUGUGCAAAGGCUUUUUUUUCUGAAUCAGGAAUGUGAAAACCUCAUAUGCAUAAAAGAAAAUGUAAACAGUGACGUCUUUCCUCUCUGAUAACACAGAAAUGUUUGUCACUGAGCUGAAUUUAUGUGAAAGACUCAUUCUCUGAUAAGAAAAAGUCUCAGUAAAAAAUGUGGAAAUGCACUCGACUGUUGCAAUGAUUAGUCUAAGUGCUAAUCAAUGUCAGGCGUAAUUACUGAAUGUUGCAAUGUGUUGCUCGGCGGCUUGAUAAACUGUUUUCCUAUCUCCCCCACACCCAUCACAUUAUAUUUUGUUGCUCAGGGAGGACAUAAAAAAAAAAAACUGGGCUGUUCCCCACCAGAGGGGAGAGGACGGUCUCCAGGGAGGCUUUGCGACAGACGUGAUUAUCAUCCAUCUGUUCAAUUAACUGUCAGCUUUCUCAGAAAAUGAAUGGAAAGGGCGCAAAAAAUGAAGUACAUUGAUAAAGUCUGUAGACAAAUUGAAACAGUGGCCUCAUGCAUUUGAAAGCGUGGAGUAUGAAAAUGGACACAUACAAUUCAAAGGGAUAAAAAGAGGAAGGAUUUAGCUAAUUUCCGACAAGGGCCUCACAAAAUAUGCAUAAUAUCGAUAUCUGGCCUAUCUGUCAAGUGAUAAGGAUAAUGAGCUUUUCUUCUUCCUCUGCUGGAUUCAAGGAAAUCACAUUCUCCAGGUUACAGAUGUAAGUCUCAUUAUCUGACCCGACUUUCUUCACUUCAAUUCCCACAGUCUUUGCUCACUAAGCGCAUCAGGCUGAUUAAAGAACUUUUUCUAGGAGACUAAGCCUGUUUUAUGCGCCAGUCCCGCCUUAUCACAGCACAAGCACAUCCCUGUGCUCCGGCGGCCAAACAGAUAGAGACGCCCACACGUCCUAAACCUGGGUUUACCUCUGACAGCAGCUCAACACCUUCUUCCAUUUUCUCAGGUUCACUCUCUUUCAAAAUGCAUCUCACACACACACACACACAAACACACACACACACACACACACACAGAGUGAACCCAUCAAAGCCUCUGUGCAGUGAACUGUGCAGCUUAUUGACAGGCUGUGCCCAACAGAAUCACACAUCAUCUUUAAAGGAUGUUUUGGUUUCUUAUCAUUUCUUUCAUAUAAUAAAAUGUAACACUAGAUCGAAAUAAUUACCAUACCAGUCUUUCAUCACACACAAAAAUGUAAAAACCUUCACUCCCAUACAUGAGGACUAACUUCUGUUACUUCACUAUCAUUAGGAUUUGCGUCAUUUGUUUUUUCUUGAAUUUUGAACAGGAAGAAAAUAAAACUCUUAAAUUAUAGCAUUCUGAACUAAUCUUAAAACCAUUUGUUGACAAUGUUGCAAAGGUUUUUUUUUUUUAAUAAUGAUGACAGAUUUCCAAGAAUUCAAGAAUUCAAUUAUACAUAUUUUGUUACUAUAGCAACAAAACAAUUAUUGGGUAAUUUAUAAUCUUUUAUUACCAAAAAAGGACAGUCUAAAAUGCACCAAUACGUUGGCAACAUUUGUAUUUGUGCACUUUAAUAGUGCUCUUCUUGGGUUCAAAAUAUGACUGCAGAUUUUUUAAAGCUUCUGUCCUUCUCCAUACCAUCCAUCAUUAAAACAACUGAGAUUGUGAAACAAGUGACAUUGUAAUUGAAAAGUGUAGACCCAUGUCCCUAUGUUUUAUGAGGAUAAAAAUGAUGUUAAUUAAACUGUAUAUUGGCCUGUAUAUGUUGCCCCACUAUUGAAGCACCA